rnacentral:rRNA from 1 species
UAACACAUGCAAGUCGAGCGAGACCUUCGGGUCUAGCGGCGGACGGGUUAGUAACGCGUGGGAACGUGCCCUUCUCUGCGGUAUAGCCACUGGAAACGGUGAGUAAUACCGCAUACGCCCUUCGGGGGAAAGAUUUAUCGGAGAAGGAUCGGCCCGCGUUAGAUUAGAUAGUUGGUGGGGUAACGGCCUACCAAGUCUACGAUCUAUAGCUGGUUUUAGAGGAUGAUCAGCAACACUGGGACUGAGACACGGCCCAGACUCCUACGGGAGGCAGCAGUGGGGAAUCUUAGACAAUGGGCGCUAGCCUGAUCUAGCCAUGCCGCGUGUGUGAUGAAGGUCUCAGGAUCGUAAAGCACUUUCGCCAGGGAUGAUAAUGACAGUACCUGGUAAAGAAACCCCGGCUAACUCCGUGCCAGCAGCCGCGGUAAUACGGAGGGGGUUAGCGUUGUUCGGAAUUACUGGGCGUAAAGCGUACGUAGGCGGAUCAGAAAGUUGGGGGUGAAAUCCCGGGGCUCAACCCCGGAACUGCCUCCAAAACUCCUGGUCUUGAGUUCGAGAGAGGUGAGUGGAAUUCCAAGUGUAGAGGUGAAAUUCGUAGAUAUUUGGAGGAACACCAGUGGCGAAGGCGGCUCACUGGCUCGAUACUGACGCUGAGGUACGAAAGUGUGGGGAGCAAACAGGAUUAGAUACCCUGGUAGUCCACACCGUAAACGAUGAAUGCCAGUCGUCGGGCAGUAUACUGUUCGGUGACACACCUAACGGAUUAAGCAUUCCGCCUGGGGAGUACGGUCGCAAGAUUAAAACUCAAAGGAAUUGACGGGGGCCCGCACAAGCGGUAGCUUGUUUAAUUCGAAGCAACGCGCAGAACCUUACCAACCCUUGACAUCCUGUGCUAACCCGAGAGAUCGGGCGUUCACUUCGGUGACGCAGUGACAGGUGCUGCAUGGCUGUCGUCAGCUCGUGUCGUGAGAUGUCCCGGUUAAGUCCGGCAACGAGCGCAACCCACAUCCUUAGUUGCCAGCAGUUCGGCUGGGCACUCUAAGGAAACUGCCCGUGAUAAGCGGGAGGAAGGUGUGGAUGACGUCAAGUCCUCAUGGCCCUUACGGGUUGGGCUACACACGUGCUACAAUGGCAGUGACAAUGGGUUAAUCCCCAAAAGCUGUCUCAGUUCGGAUUGGGGUCUGCAACUCGACCCCAUGAAGUCGGAAUCGCUAGUAAUCGUGGAACAGCGUGCCACGGUGAAUACGUUCCCGGGCCUUGUACACACCGCCCGUCACACCAUGGGAGUUGGUUCUACCCGACGGCCGUGCGCCAACCUUUCGAGGAGGCAGCGGACCACGGUAGGAUCAGCGACUGGGGUG